AUGUGUUUUCCCACCGUGGCCGUGGUUACUGGGUGGAUCUCUUGCUUGGUGGCAUGUACUGUGACUGCGUUGAUCUUCUCUCCGGCCAGCGUUCCGUGGACGUCCGCUCCCCUAGGCCUGCCUGUGGGGUGCGAGAGUUACCUCGGCUGCAGAGACUACAUACCAGAGGUGAGGGCCUUUCGAGCCGUGGGCUGUGUCGGGGACUCCAUCAAGUUUGUCUCCAUCACCGGCUUCCUUGAGCGUGUGGAUCUUGCGGAUGACCGCAUGGUGAGGGUCUGGAAACUCAAGGAAGAUAUGAGUUGGGAUUUAGACUACGAGCUCAAGUUUGGGAGCCUGCGCGAAGAUGGGGCUUUCAAAGGGAACCACCUGCCGACCUCCAUGGCACCCAUGUACCCCUUCCUCAGCAUGCAGGAAGACCGUGUCAUCUACUUUGCACUGGCAUUGGUUGUCUUCUUGCUAUGUCCGGCAAUGCUGAGGGCGAUCUUGCUUGGACUUCCCAGCCAAGCCAACUUCUGA
rnacentral:rRNA from 1 species